CCACACACGAGAAGGAUUUGGGAAUUGUUAUAGACAACAAAUUAGGCAGCAAUAUGCAAUGUCAAUCUGCCGUUCCUAAAGCCAGUAAGGUUUUGUCAUGUAUAAAUAGGGGCAUAAAUUCUCGAGAUGAAAAUAUAAUUUUGCCUCUUUAUAAAUCGCUGGUAAGACCACACCUUGAAUAUGCUGUGCAAUUUUGGGCACCUGUUCUAAAGAAAGAUAUCAUGGCACAAGAAAAAGUGCAGAGAAGAGCUACAAAAUUGAUAAAAGGAAUGGAGCAUUUUAGUUAUGAAGAAAGGUUAAACAAAUUUAAAUCUCUU